AACGAAGAAGAAAUGGAGGAAAUAGGUCAAUUGACAUAGCGUAUUUGCUUUCUUCAUUUUUCCUCUUCUUCUCAUUCACAACUGCUAUCUCC
rnacentral:ribozyme from 11 species